rnacentral:rRNA from 1 species
ACGCACGCUGGCGGCGUGCUUAACACAUGCAAGUCGAACGGAAAGGCCCUGCUUGCAGGGUCCUCGAGUGGCGAACGGGUGAGUAACACGUGGGUGAUCUGCCCUGCACUUCGGGAUAAGCUUGGGAAACUGGGUCUAAUACCGGAUAGGAGCCAUCUUUAGUGUGGUGGUUGGAAAGUUUUUUCGGUGUAGGAUGAGCUCGCGGCCUAUCAGCUUGUUGGUGGGGUAAUGGCCUACCAAGGCGGCGACGGGUAGCCGGCCUGAGAGGGUGUACGGCCACAUUGGGACUGAGAUACGGCCCAGACUCCUACGGGAGGCAGCAGUGGGGAAUAUUGCACAAUGGGCGCAAGCCUGAUGCAGCGACGCCGCGUGGGGGAUGAAGGCCUUCGGGUUGUAAACUCCUUUCGCUAGGGACGAAGCUUUUUUGUGACGGUACCUAGAUAAGAAGCACCGGCUAACUACGUG